rnacentral:misc_RNA from 1 species
GUUUUUUCACUUUAAACCACAUUAUGCUCAGCCCUAAGAAUAAGUCAUAAAAAGAUUGAUUUCGCUAUGGCUGCUGGUUACUAACCACGAAGAUACAUCUCAUCAUCUUCGUCAAAUGUUUCAAGGGCCACCAAGGCACCAACCACAAAGCAAGAGCAUAGACUAGCGAGAACUAACACCGAACAAGAAGCUUCAUCAGCCNNNNNNCUACAAGAUUACUGAGUAAACUCGAGACUAUCAAUAAAAUAGCCUGCAGUAUAUCAAGUUCUGCC